rnacentral:rRNA from 1 species
UACGAAGGGGGCUAGCGUUGCUCGGAAUCACUGGGCGUAAAGGGUGCGUAGGCGGGUCUUUAAGUCAGGGGUGAAAUCCUGGAGCUCAACUCCAGAACUGCCUUUGAUACUGAAGAUCUUGAGUCCGGGAGAGGUGAGUGGAACUGCGAGUGUAGAGGUGAAAUUCGUAGAUAUUCGGAAGAACACCAGUGGCGAAGGCGGCUCACUGGACCGUUGUUGACGCUGAGGUGCGAAAGCGUGGGGAGCAAACAGG